UGCAUGGUGGUGCAGUUGGUAGCACUGUUGCCUUGCAGUAAGUAGGUCCUGGGUUCGACUCCCAGCCGGGGGUCUUUCUGCAU